GAACGCUCUUGGGGCUUCGGCCUCAAGGGAGUGGCGCACGGGUGAGUAGCGCGUGGGAACCUGCCCUGUUGUGGGGGAUAACCGAGGGAAACUUCGGCUAAUACCGCAUACGCCCGGCGGACCUCGAAAGGGGGAAACCGGGGAAAGAUUUAUCGCAGCAGGAGGGGCCCGCGUCGGAUUAGCUUGUUGGUGGGGUAACGGCCUACCAAGGCUUUGAUCCGUAGCUGGUCCGAGAGGAUGAUCAGCCACACUGGGACUGAGACACGGCCCAGACUCCUACGGGAGGCAGCAGUGGGGAAUAUUGGACAAUGGGCGCAAGCCUGAUCCAGCAAUGCCGCGUGAGUGAUGAAGGCCUUCGGGUUGUAAAGCUCUUUCGCCUGCGAGGAUGAUGACGGUAGCAGGAGAAGAAGCCCCGGCUAACUUCGUGCCAGCAGCCGCGGUAAUACGAAGGGGGCGAGCGUUGUUCGGAUUUACUGGGCGUAAAGGGCGCG
rnacentral:rRNA from 1 species